GCCAGUAUGGUACAGUGGUUUGAGCAUUUGACUAUGACUCUGGUGACCAGGGUUCAAAUACCUACUCAGUCA